rfam:Lupinus angustifolius cultivar Tanjil chromosome LG02, whole genome shotgun sequence.
AGGUGCGAUCAUACCAACACUAAUGCACCGGAUCACAUCAGAACUCCACAGUGAAGCGUGCUUGGGCGAGAGCAGUACUAGGAUGGGUUACCUCCUGGGAAGUCCUCGUGUUGCACCUC